GUUUUAAGGAGAUCACCCCCCAAAAUACAAGCCUUUUAACACAUUUCUCUCAUGACUUCUCUUUUCAGUUUCCAGAAAAAGUCAGACUCCUCUCACUGAGGGCAUCUAUGAAGACCUUACUAAUACUGUAGUGGGGGAGAAAUAUGAAGAGGUGGAAGAGAAAGAUAUAAGUCUCUCAGGAAUAGAGUAUGAUGAUAUUGAAGAAAGUGAGAAUCAUCUGACUGAAAAAGAGGAAGAAGAGAAGGAGGAGGAGGAGGAGGAGGAGCAAGAGCAGGAGGAGGAGGCAAAAGUUAUCACUUACUCAGGCCGGGGUCCUCAUCUUAUGGACACAAAUGAGCUUCUUGUUAUGGAAGAAAAUGACCAGUUUUUGCCUCCUGGAUAUGAUGAUGCUGAAUUGGAUAUUUUAGGGAUGUCAUUGCGUCAAGAGAAUUUUAAAUAAAACAUCUCACCAGACUAGAAAUAUGUUCUUAUUUACAGCACUGUAUUUGGCUCUUUGGGGCACUGACAUCAUAUAUAUUUUUCUUUUCUUUCUUACUGAUUCUUGGUUUUAUUAUCAAAUGAUGCUUAGAUUGUCUAAGUAAUUAUUUUUAUUAUGGAGUUUGUAAAAGAGUGGCAGUUGGUUUGACUUUGCUCUUGGAGACAUUUUAACUACUAAAAGUGUCCCAUACAUCCUCCCAUUUUACUGAUGAAAAAAAUUGAAUCUCAGAGAAAUUAAAUUAUAUGUCAUGAAUCACAUGGCUAGUAAUUGUCUGAGAUAAGGUUUGAAACUCAAAUAUUCUUGCCUUUAGGUCCAUGUUUCUCGAUGAUGACUGAAACUAACGGUAUCUUAACCAAAUACAGUAAAUAGAUGCUAUAGUACCCUGGAUAGCCAGAAGAACAUAAGUUUCUUUUUUGUUGAAGGACUUUAUUUACAAGUGUAUCAGCCCCUCCCUUCCCCCUCCUGUAUCAUAGGAGGCAUCAUCCUGGAGACAUAUAUAUAUAUAUAUAUGUGUGUGUGUGUGUGUGUGUAUAUAUAUAUAUAUAUGCAUUUAAAUUAUAUUUCUUUCAUAUUUCAGUUUAUUCUCUGGAGGUAACAUUCACAAAAUAUUCUUCAAAUAGUAAAUUUGUAGCCAUGAACAAUAUUCUCUUAGUUCUACUUAAGUCACUGUUCAUUAUCCCAUGAAGUUCUUUCAUUCUUCCAAGAUUUUUUUUUAAAAUUACCCUGCUUUUUAUUUCUUAUGGCACAGUAGUAGCCCAUCACAGUCAUAUACCACAAUUUGUUUAGACACUCCCCAAUUGAUGGCCAUCUCAAUUUCCAGUUUUUUGCCAUCCUAAAGAAAACUGUUAUAAAUAUUUUAGAACAUAUGGGUUCUUUUCCUUUUCAUCUGAUCUCUUUGGGAAACAGGUAUGCACAUUUUAAUAACUUUUUGGAUGUAAUUCCAAAUUGCUUUUCAAAAUGAAUGGCUCAGUUUACAGGUUCACCAACAGUGCAUUAGCGUAACCAUUUUUUCACAUCCACUCCGACAUUUGUUAUUUUGCCCUUUUGUUAUUUUAGCAAUCUGAUUUGUGUGAGAUUAUAUCUCAGAAUUUGCAUUUAUCUAAUAAAUGAUUUAGGGCAUUUUUUCA
ensembl:lncRNA